UACGAAGGGGGCUAGCGUUGCUCGGAAUUACUGGGCGUAAAGCGCACGUAGGCGGCUUCUUAAGUCGGUGGUGAAAUCCUGGAGCUCAACUCCAGAACUGCCUUCGAUACUGAGAAGCUCGAGUCCGGGAGAGGUGAGUGGAACUGCGAGUGUAGAGGUGAAAUUCGUAGAUAUCGCAAGAACACCAGUGGCGAAGGCGGCUCACUGGCCCGAUACUGACGCUGAGGUGCGAAAGCGUGGGGAGCAAACAGGG
rnacentral:rRNA from 1 species